CGUGUAAAUCUGUAAGGAUGGAUCCAUCCAAUUUUCUAUAUGGUGCCACUGUAAAGAAGUAUCAGAGGAAUGCUAUUCAUGGAGAGCUGUUUGUUUACUGUGAUCUCCUUGCCUGAGUUGUGCAUACCGUAUUUGCUAUGUUGUGCAUUUCUUUUUCUUUUGUUUCCUUUUUUCUAUUAUGUAAAUCAUACACGAUAUUUGUCUUGUAUUCACCUUUUUUUUGGAGGAUAAACAACCCAAAAUCUGUAAGGAUGGAUCCAUCCAAUUUUCUAUAUGGUGCCACUGUAAAGAAGUAUCAGAGGAAUGCUAUUCAUGGAGAGAUGUUUGUUUACUGUGAUCUCCUUGCCUGAGUUGUGCAUACCGUAUUUGCUCUGUUGUGCAUUUCUUUUUCUUUUGUUUCCUUUUUUCUAUUAUGUAAAUCAUACACGAUAUUUGUCUUGUAUUCACCUUCUUUUCCAUUUUAUGGUGCAUUGGAUUCAUUCUGUAAACUCUCGAGUGUAGAAGAGUUGCAAGGAGGUUUAGAAAACAACUACUAUACUCAUUUAUGCUAUUUCUUCAUGUAUGUAUGUCCAACAACGCUGUUUUGAGGUCGAUUUAGAUGACCACGUGAAUGAGUUUUGUUUA
rnacentral:lncRNA from 1 species